rnacentral:rRNA from 1 species
GACGAACGCUGGCGGCGUGCUUAACACAUGCAAGUCGAACGGAAAGGUCCUGCUUUUGUUGGGUGCUCGAGUGGCGCACGGGUGAGUAACACGUGAGUAACCUGCCCCUGUCUUUGGGAUAACUUCAGGAAACUGGGGCUAAUACCGGAUAGGAGCUCCUGCUGCAUGUUGGGGGUUGGAAAGUUUCGGCGGUUGGGGAUGGACUCGAGGCUUAUCAGCUUGUUGGUGGGGUAGUGGCUUACCAAGGCUUUGACGGGUAGCCGGCCUGAGCGGGUGACCGGCCACAUUGGGACUGAGAUAAGGCCCAGACUCCUACGGGAGGCAGCAGUGGGGAAUAUUGCACAAUGGGCGGAAGCCUGAUGCAGCAACGCCGCGUGCGGGAUGACUGCCUUCGGGUUGUAAACCGCUUUCGCCUGUGACGAAGCGUGAGUGACGGUAAUGGGUAAAGAAGCACCGGCUAACUACGUG